AUUGAACGCUGGCGGCAGGCCUAACACAUGCAAGUCGAACGCGUGGCGGACGGGUGAAUAAUGUCUGUGAAACUGCCUGAUGGAGGGGGAUAACUACUGUAAACGGUAGCUAAUACCGCAUACCAUCAGAUGUGCCCAGCUGGGAUUAGCGAGUUGGUGGGGUAACGGCUCACCAGGGCGACGAUCCCUAGCUGGUCUGAGAGGAUGACCAGCCACACUGGAACUGAGACACGGUCCAGCCUCUCACGGGAGGCAGCAGUGGGGAAUAUUGCACAAGGGGCGAAAGCCUGAUGCAGCCAGGCCGCGUGUAUGAAGAAGGCCUUCGGGUUGUAAAGUACGUUCAGCGGGGAGGCGUUACCCGCAGAAGAAGCACCGGCUAACUCCGUGCCAGCAGCCGCGGUAAUAC
rnacentral:rRNA from 1 species